GAUGAACGCUGGCGGCGUGCCUAACACAUGCAAGUCGAACGGACGAAGGGAGCUUGCUCCCUGAGUUAGUGGCGAACGGGUGAGUAACGCGUGAGUAACCUGCCUUUCACUGGGGGAUAACGCAUCGAAAGAUGUGCUAAUACCGCGUAAGACCACAGCAUCGCAUGGUGCAGGGGUCAAAGGAGCAAUCCGGUGGAAGAUGGGCUCGCGUCCGAUUAGCUAGUUGGUGAGAUAACAGCCCACCAAGGCGACGAUCGGUAGCCGAGCUGAGAGGCUCAACGGCCACAUUGGGACUGAGAUACGGCCCAG
rnacentral:rRNA from 1 species